CGCCCAGCCUUCUGGGUCCGAGGCUCCCACCUGCGCUCAGCGCUUGGUAGCUAGGAGGGAAUGGGAGGAUGCUUGCGGGGUAGGGAGGCGAGGGUUGGAAAUUGGCAGAAUGAGAACUGGGGAAACUAGUCUGAGACGCAGCCCUGCUUGUCCCCCUUCUUCAUUCACCCCCAUGUUGAGGGCCUUGGCUUUUGCAUAAUGUGGGAGCUCCUGGAGAGGAGGGUGCUUCCCAGCAGCUCCUGUUCGACCCCCAGCCCCGGGCCAAGGGCACAGAGAGAGAACACCCUUUAAAAAAAUGUAUUUAAAGAGGCUGGUUCCUAUCCAUCCGACUGGAGGCAUCUCAGUGCAAGAGCAAAGCUAAGUCCUGCACAUACACCUCCCCUCCUCCUCCUCC